rnacentral:rRNA from 1 species
GGGUGCGAUCAUACCAGCGUUAAUGCACCGGAUCCCAUCAGAACACUCCUCAGUUAAGCGCGCUUGGGCUACAAUAGUACUGGGAUGGGUGACCUCCCAGGAAGUCCUAGUGUUGCACCCU